UCACCUAUUCACAACCCACCCUCACCCUCCUCUUGUCUCCCUCACAGACACCUCCUACUAAGAGGACUCACUGUUCAUGUCUCAGACUUCCUCACAGGUGGGUAGGAUGGUGAGUUCUAGCCAAGAAAAAAAAAAGAAAAAACUAAACUAAAAGUCUCCCAGAAAGCUCACAGGAGUCUCUGCUCAGAUAAAAAGAUGAGUCCUUCACUCUUCAUGUUGCCUUGAGUGAGAAGAUGAUGCCUGAGGCCCUGUUGGCUUUAUGCAAACGCGGAGUUACAGGUAAGAGGAAGAAAGCAGGCAUACGAGGAGGUAAAGAUAAAGCAGAGACAAACAUAGUUCCUGAUGGCUCUGCCGUUGAACCGGUGCCAGCAAACCGCUAAGUCAGGCUUCUAGUUAUGCAAGGCAAAAAAAAAAGCCCCCAUUGUUCAAUCUACCAUCGAUCAAACUUUGGUUACUGUUGUUGCCUGCUCAGAAGUGCUUCCAUCAGAUAUGGCUUCUCCUUCGCGGGCAUCGCAUAGAUGAUUGUGAAGAACGCACAUCCCGUUUGCUGCAUUUCCCAGCCCCGCUGAUAAUGAGUCCCACCCACCCUUGGGGUACACAAACUCGGAUGCUUAUCAGGAUCACUUGGAGGUCCUUUAAAACAUGAAGAUGGUUGAGAAGAAUGUGCAGAAAUGUUGUUUCAGAUAAGGGGAAGCACAAGCUCAUGGAAAGCAAAGCCAACAUCCACAUAGCCUGCAAAGAACCUAAAACGUGUGCUGGCUGCAAAAUGCACCUUUCUAGACAGCGUUCUCCAUCUAUGGAUCUUAGACUACACGUUCCAGCCAGUUGAAAAAGAAACACACAUUUUAGAACCCUGUUUCUUAACUCGGGGUCUACAGAGCUCUUCCCACUGGUAUCAAAUCCUGGGGUCCCCACUCUGGAUUUCUUUACUGACUGCAAUUCUUUUCUUUACCAUAGUCAGUGGUUAUCUACAUACCCCAGGGAGUUCUAGACACUGGGCUGUGAAAUAAGUCAGGCCCAUAAUUAUUUAUUUGAUCUAUAAGAUAUGCAGAAGAUUAUUUUAAUCAAGGACGGAACAACUCGAUAAUUAAACAUAAUUCAUCUAAGCUCUCGCUACACACUGUGGUCCAGUCUAGCCUUAUCUGUAUUGUUUGAGGACUUACCAGAAAUGCUAAAUUUAAGCCCUUAUUCCAGAAUUACAUCAGAAUCCCAUUUUAAUAAGAAUCUCCAGGCCUUCUGUAUACAUAUUGAGACUUGGAAAAUGCUUCUGUGAGUGUCUGUUAUCAAAUUAACGGUACACUGGGAGCCCUAAGGCCUGGGCCUCAAGUUCAGAGAUCAGCCUUGUCUGUGAGCCGGAUCAGACAUUAGGCACCAUGACUCAUCAAGCACAAGGCACUAAGGCCCUUCAAGCAUCAAGCACCAUAAACAUAUACUUUUUAAUAACACACACACACACACACACACACACACACACACACCCCAAGGACUCUUGUUCCAGAGACUUGUCUCUAUUCUCUGGAACCCAUGUUUCUUUUUCAAAGAAUUUUUUUAAAAUUUAUGUGUACACGUGCAUGCCUCUGUGUACGCACAAACCACAUGUGUGUGUGCCCAAUGGAGGCCAGAAGAGGUGGCUAGGAGGCCUGAAAUUGGAGUUACAGGCAGUUAUGAGACGCCCCAGUGGAUGCUUCGAACUUCACUCAGGUUCUCUGGAAGACUGCUGAGCCAUCUCUCUCCAACCUCAGGAAGACACAGUUUUAAUCAACACCUUUGGAGUGGUGUAGGCUGACCACAGACCACGGGGUUACAGAACUUUUGAGGGGGGAAAAUUCUUGAGGAUGCCAAUUAAUUAGUCUGGCUGCUGAUUGAUGUGUAUCGCUGGUGAAUCUUCGAGUAACUGUGCCUCUUCAGAAAGCACAGCAGAGAGUAAAGCUCUGACUCCUACCUCCUGCCAGAAAUUAUGCUGGCUGCAAAAUACUACCUACAGACAGCCUGCAGCCUGACAAGGGCCAAGCCUACCAGCAAGCCAGACUCGGGAGACAACACAUACAGAGAAACUCCUUUUCGGGCUAGGUAGGGAAAGAAUCGUGCUUUGAAACCACACACCUUCUGACAACUGAGAAUUAAAUAGAGAAAACCCUUACCAUUUUGGAGGAGGGUCUAAAUGGUGACCUGGUACAAACCACCACAAAAGGACCACAUAAAAAGGCCGCGUUCUCCUCCGGUUGGCCAGCAUUAUGAUUCUCCAAGCACAAGUUUGCCAUGAAGAAUCUGUGGAACUCAUGCACACAGGUUGCUGUUUAUCUUCAAGUGCCUCCGGGCCCUGAGAAGUGGGCAUUGUUUGAUACAAUGUUUCAUCCAGAGGGUUGUUUCAUCCUGAGGCACAUGAUCUGCUUAGUUCUCCUACCUAAGUUGUCCAACUGCUAAGAGACAGGAUGCUAACUGCUAACAUCCAGUUAACGUGUUUCCCACGGUGUCUGGAACCCAAAUGGACAAGCAGAAGCACAUGCUUGCUUGAUUGAAUAAGGGCAAUAAACACAUUAUACUGUCUUCCUGAGUAGUAACGUCAUGCUGACUGAUCCCCGACAUGGCAAGGGCUUGACCAUCACCAGGAGAUUUUUGAAACACCACGUCAGUUGUCCAUCAGUAAGAGACUGAAUGAAAGAGCAACAACAAGAAGCAAGUCAUGUCACAGCAUGGGGCGGUUUUCGAAGACUUAAUGGGAAUUAUAUCAUUGGAUUCCCAUGGCAACCUUAAAGAGCAAGAGCCUGUAGUUUCCUGUCCGAUUGUUCCAAAUGAUGCUUCCAGUAUCACGAUGAUUAGCAGUGUGAUGGAGGGACACACCUAAGCAUAGACAGACCUAAAGACCCCACAGUAUCAAGAAUUUGGUCAUGUUCAGAAAUCAUGUGCACAGAGUUUGGGAGUGGAUUUUGGAAUUAAGAUUACUGUGGUGCAGAACAAUGACUCUCCUCCACUCUGGUCAUGGCGUGUGAUGACCAAACCCAGGCUUAUUGUGCCAUGAUUUAGGAAGUAAGAUGAAUGCACAAAAGAAACUGGCCUUUGAUGGUAAAAGUGGUUUAUUUCUGGUUCUCAAGUUUAUUGACAGAAGAUAUUAACAAGGACACAGGAAUCGUGAAGGGCAAAAAAAUAUGCCUUAUCAAAGAAGUGCAUGUACGCUCACCAGGACACGUGUUUGGAGAAGUUGGUACCACCUAACUUUCAUUUGCUCUUUAACCCUUCGGGUUGUUUGCUGGCCAAGUGCCUGGGCCACUGCUGCUUGAAUAAAGUUCUUUGCCUUC